UUAGCAACACUUUUUUAUGCAACUUGUAUAAACUGUUACCUAAAAGUGGCUUAGCUAACAUGUUAUGACUGUUGCCAAUUCAUUUUAGGCAGCACUAGAUAAUUGUUCCCUGUAAUAGAAAAGGGAACAUUUUCGGACUGAUACUAUGAUAUUUCUUUGGCAAUAGUCAACAACUGUGCCUAUAGAUAUUUGUGGGGACAGUUUUAAGGCGUUACAUUAUUUCUUACAAAAGGCAACAUUUAUUAACAAUUGCUUUUAAUAUUCAACAUUAAAAAAAUAUUUAACUUUAUUAUAAAAUUAUUUUUACCACACUUGUUCAAAUUCAAUUAAAAGACUAAUCUACAUCAACAAAAAAAAAAGACUAAUCCCAUCCAAACACAGGCGUAGAGAAACCCAUCACACACAAAAACAAGUUUGAGAGUUAAACCCCCACAGUGUGGCUUCCUUCUCCUCCGUCUGCAAUUUUCGAAAAAAAAUCUCUUCAAACACCACAAAAUUGAAAAUCCACUUCAAUCUGUAGCUUUAUAAAUUAUCUCUCACCGCUCAAUCCCUAGAUUUUUAGGGUUUCUAAUCUAUUCUCUUACACCAUUCAAUCCCUAUUUUCCUAGAGUUUCUGAUCUAUUCCUCUUUCUCGUAUUUUUUUUAUGACCAAAAUCAAUGGCUUCAAUCUGGAGACCCUGUCUCAGUGGCGUCAUAAUUUCAUAGAUUAGCUAGCGGAGUUGGUUUCUACGAUAAGGGUUUCAUGAUUGAUCUGUAUGCUUUAGCUUAAGCACGAACACUGAGAAGGAAUUAGCAGAAUGCAGAUCUGGAUUUGUUGAAGGAUUUUUUCUAGUAUUUUCCACAGUGUUGACCAACAUCAACUUCUUAUAUCAGUGAAUAAUGCAUCACAACUAAGUGAGAAGGAGGAAUUAACUGAAACAUGCCUUAAAACAAACUACUUUGGUGUUGGUGAAUAAUGCAGCUCAAUUACUAACUGACUUGCUAUUUGAGUGAGUUGCCUACAAAGGAAGAAGAAUCAAAGAUUACUCUAAAUUGGACCCAACUUCUCAUUUCACAGGUUUUGCAUUGGAGCAAUACGAUGAAAAGGGAUUACGAUCAAAGAAAUGUUGGAAUUGAUAAAGAUCAUUGAAAAGUAACAGAAGGCAUGUUAUAGGUGCUUCUUCAUAUGAUUUUGCAACCAAUUCAAGAUUGGAGGCGAUGAAAGGAAAUUUACUAUUUACACCAAAAGUGUCCAAUUUUAGUUUUAUUAUGGUUUUUAGAAAAUAUUGUCUUAAUUUGUAUAGUCACAGUACAUGUUGCUCCCUUUUAGUACCAAUAGAAAGGAGGUACUCUGUUAUGCAAUUAUGUAAUACUACAAACAUUUGAAUGAAGGAGUUCAUAUAUUUGCUCA